CGAGUCGAAACCCUCUGGUUAGUGGAUAAUUCACUGGUGGACUUAAGUGCCAUAAGACUGCCAAGGUACUUGCUUUUUAGAAUGUCUAGUUACUAAGUUAGAGUCAAAUCUUUGCUAUGUGGGCAUAUGUGACGAUUGUCUGCACAUACCGUGGCCAUAUGGUCAGGUCUUAAAGGUGAUAGUGCUAAAUGAUGCCUGGACAAGGCAAAAAGGGAAACUUAUAUGUCAAAAUGUCACACUUUAGAGGACAAAAUCUAUUCUUUUCUAAAUUAGUAUUAGCAGCAAUUUUUAGGGGAGGAAUUUGCAAUCGUAGAAUCAUAUUGGCAGAAAAGUUUGCCAUAAUCCUUAUAUUGUACACUGGAAAUGCAAUUAUAUUAUAUAAAUACUGUUGUUGUAAGAUAGAGAUUUUUAGUCAGUCAUAUUUGUUGAGCACCUAUGAGGAAAGACUCUACAGAUAGUUGGCAAGAAUCUUGGCUUCAAGGUCACAUUCUAAUGGAAGGGUGAGAAUAGAGACAGAAACAAACUAAAAGUUUUUACAAAUAUGCAGACUCUUUGGUCUUCCAAGGAUCCCAAACUCCUGAUGUUAAAAGAUAAUCUGCCUUUUUGCUCAGGAUUGUAGAGAGCCUCUGUCAGCUUCACCAGGCACAAAGAUAGGUGCUGUGAGCUUUGACAGCAAUCCAAGGAACAGACAGAGGUCUUCAGGAGAGAAGUAGAAGAUGAAGGAAAUCAGGCAGCCACAAGAGGGAAGGGUAAGUCCUAGAGGAGGUCAAGAUACAUCCCUCAGCAUAGAUUGAGACAGGGCAACAAAAAGACCAUCACAGCCACAAAGGAGAGGGAAACAGUUGGAGACGGAAGAAGGGUCAGAAUAUUCAGUGUGCCUGGGUUAUCUUCAAUCAUGUUUAACACCCCUUGGAAACUUUAGGCAGAUUUGCCUAGCAUUUGAUUUUACCUAUGUUGUUUUUAACAAAUUGUAAAAUAUCUAAGUAAAAAUUCUCAAAAGAAACUUAAUAUCACUACUAUAAAUAAAAACUCAAUGGCAGUUGAUAUUGAUUCAUUCAGGUUUUGAGGUUUUGAGGGGUUUUUUGUUGUUGUUGUUUUUGUUUUUGCCAGACUUUCUUCUAGGGAUAUAAUAGUGAUACAUUAGCUAUAUUUUUUUAAAUACACAUACAACGAAAAAACUUUUUAAUAAUCACAUGGCAUGCUCUAGAAAUACUGAACUAAAAGAUGCUUGGAGUAUCUGAACUUUACUUGAUCCGGAUCAAUAAACUUCCAAAUCUUUGCUAUCUUACGUAAAAAAAGAGAAAGAGAAACCACAAUCACUAAAGAAAAGACUUAACCUAACUUUAGUGUUCUCUAGAUGUAUUCUUUUGGCUUUUCUUUCAUUAGAAAUAGGAUAUAUAAUAUAAAAUUAUGUAAUUGCAAUUCAAAUUUUACAACUGCCAAAUCAACAUGUCAAAAAAAGGAGAAAAAAGUUGAUGCGUGUAUAUUCAUAGCCUCCUUCCUUCUGCCCCAGGGAAAACACCACACUCGGUUUGUUGCUCUGCUUGCCUAACAUCCUGCUAACUGGGGAUCUGUGACGGGGUGAAUCUGAGAGCCUGGGAGGGAUGGAUGGAUGUUGAAAAUGAGAUACCAGUAGUUCAUUUUUGCUUUUAUUACCCUUGCCUCGGGUGACAUGUCUAGUAAGAAGUUGCUGCAGCCGAGGUCAAAGAGGUUGCUGCCUGUUUUCUCCUCCAGGAUUUUGAUGGUUUCCUGACUCAUGUUUAGGUGUUUCAUCCAUUUUGAAUUUAUUUUUGUGUGUGGUGAAGGGCAUUAAGGAGGGCACUUGUUGGGAUGAGCCCUGGGUGUUAUAUGUAAGUGACGAAUCAAUGGGUUCUACUCCUGACACCAAUUCUACACUGUAUGUUAACUAGUUUGAAUUUCAAUAAAUAACUUUUUAAAAAAUAAAAUAAAAUGAGAGAAUGGCAGCUAAGAAAAGAAAACACUUCAUGGACAGAGAGAGGGGCAGAGAGACAGGAACUGCUUGGGCUGGGUUUUCAAUUACAAAUUGUCAUAGUACUGAAGUGCUUCUAAAGAUUCUGUGUAACCUGGAAAAGAGUAAAAACCCCAAAUUAUCAAAUGUAUGAUUAGGAUGGUGUGAAAUAUCCAUAUGGAGGUGGAGUGGAAGGAAGAAAGGAAAUGAAAAGAAUAGAUGUGGAAAAAAAUUACAAUGAGAUCUGGGGGGGGGGGGGUUCAAACUGAAUUUUUCUAAUACCAUUGUGUAGAAGCACUCUGUUUAGCACCAUCUUUUUUUUUUAAUUUUUUUUAAUGUUUAUUUAUUUUUGAGACAGAGAGAGACAGAGCAUGAAUGGGGGAGGGGCAGAGAGAGAGAGGGAGACACAGAAUCGGAAGCAGGCUCCAGGCUCUGAGCCAUCAGCCCAGAGCCCGACGCGGGGCUCGAACUCACGAACCGCGAGAUCGUGACCUGAGCUGAAGUCGGAUGCUCAACCGACUGAGCCACCCAGGCGCCCCCGUUUAGCACCAUCUUUAACAUUAGCAAUAAUUAUUUACUAAGUGUCCUUAUGGAGUCCAGGGCCCAUAAGUAAGUUCCCUGUGCUUUUCUCAUGGUAUUAAAUUCCAGCGUGUACAUAAAGGAAUUUUUCCUCAAGGCAAGAUGUCAGUGACAGAUUUGGAAUCAUUUCCUCUAUUUGCACGGUCAUACACAAUUAAGGCAAAAAUACUGAGAAACAUCAUAUGUCAGGAAAAUACAUUCACCUUAAAUGCCUAACACACAUUUCUUCUCCUAAGGCUAACUUUUAUUCUUUUUUUAUAUAAAAGACUUUUUUUUCCGGACUUACAAUGCUAUUUUUUUCCAAUAUAGCAUUUAAGUUUUCAUUUUCAUAUAGCAUUCAAUAUAGCAUCCUGUCAGCUAAGAAAAAAAACAACUAUAAUCUCAGUACUUGGAGGCAAUACUCUUCACAAGUUAUUAUGUGUCUGUGUACUACUAUAUCACUGAGAUUAUAUGCAGCCAUUCACUCUUUCGUUUGGCACAUAUCGUGAAUCCACCAUGGACCAAAUGUUAUGCCAAGUGCUAAGUGUAUACAUUGGAAAAGAAAACAGAUUCCUGCACUCAGCAAACUUACAGUCUCAUAUAUUCUGCUUAUUUCCUCUGAAUAUUUUAGUAUAAAUCUUUCUCUUCUUUUACAAACCAAACUUGUAGAAAAUGUCAUUGUCACUCCUUUGAGGGGUUAUGGUCGAGAUUUGGUAGUUAACCAUUCUCUUUGGGAGACAAAUGACAAGUGUUUAUAUUUUUUUAUCCAGAUGCAGAGUUUUAAAUAUGAACAAAAACCAUCUCACAUCUUUUAAACAAUUGCCAAAGAUACCCCAGAUACAGCAUUUAUCUUUGGCUGAAAACCAUAUUGAGUCUCUGACUGGGCUCUCCAGUUUACAGUGCACCCCACUAGAAUCCCUCAUGCUCAAGAGGAACCCUUGUGAGUUUCACCAAAAUUACCGGAAACGGUAAGGCCCCUAACACCUUUGUCAUCUGUGUUCUUUAUUGAAUGUUACACUUUAACAGUUGUUCCCCUCUAGCUUAAAUUCCCUUGGCAAAUAUUUAUCAUAUCUACUAAGAGUUGAAUGUUUCAUGCUUCUGAGCUCAACUAAAGAACUUUAAGCUGAUCUUUAAAAAAAGAAUCUUUAAUACACUCUUCUCUGAGUUAAUUUAUGAUUGCUUUAAAAGUUUAGGCUUCUCUUGUAAUGUGACUUUACAUAUACAAAGAUGCUUCAUUUUAGACUUUCAAAUCCUAUGCAUUUUCUCUCUAAUGUUUAAAAGAUAUUAUGUCUUUAAAAAAAUUUCUAUAUGUAGAAUCCUAUUGAGGUCCAUGUGAUAAUUUUAUAAAUUGUUUAUUCUCCGGUUUUAUUUUCACUCCUUUGGACCACAAGGGCACCAUUAAGUGAAUACAAAGAAAUAAUUGAUUCAAUCUACCCUAGUGGUUGAAAGUCCUUGAAAACCUGUGAAGAAUAAACCAUUUAAUUUCUUUGUCACUACUGGGACAUUCCUAAUGAUAAUGAUGCAAUCUACACCUUGGAGUGUGCAGGAAAUUCUAUGCCCACUGAUUUCUCCCUAGCUAAUUCCCAGCACCACUUGUGGGAACUUAAAAUAAUAAGCGACUGAGUUCUAGAAACUGUAUUUGCCCCCAAAUGACAAAUCAACUCAUGUCUUAGUUUGAAUCUAUCAUACAAAGCAUUAGAUCAUCUCUAUGUGCCAUACCUGGUCUAUGACUACUUCCUUCAUCUACAUUCAACUUCAAUAAAAGACAUAGUUCUUUCUCACUACCUUCCUUUCUGAAGCUGCCAUUUUCCCAUGACAACAACAGUAUUCCAGAGGCCUACCUAAUAUUAGACUCCUCAACCCCUGAUGUACAACAAAAGAUUGUCAAAAUAAAAAUUGUAAUCUCUGUUGUUCCUACAUAAAUCUCAUUACUGCCGUUGUCUCCCCCAUGACUAUAAACCGAAGGCAAAAUUCAUGUUCUGUGAUAAUAAAUUCUCAAAUUGCUUUUACGUAAGUGAAAACUAGCAGAACAUUUGCUUUACAACUGAACUAACAUUUAACCAUAAUCACAUUUUGAAGUUUAAAAUUAUAUUUGCAACAGUCAGAGGAGGGUUAGCUGGACAUUUCAACACCAUUCCAAAAAAGGCACAUUUCUAGUCAUAAAGAAAAUUAGCAUUACCUUUUAGUUUUGUUAAUUUAUAUGUGGGGUUUUACCUUGAUCCCAUGUCAGUGAUUUGCCUCCCUUCAAAGGAUGCCUUACAACAAUAGAAUUAAGAUUCACUGUCUGAAAUCUGAUAUGCCCUGAGGUCUCACUAUGAAUCUGUCUUCACUAUGAUGUGGUAUAGAGUUAUGUGAGAAUGAGGGAUAUAAUGAGGCUCUUCUAUUUUCUAACAUUAACUCCAUUGGACUGAGUCCAAGGUGGAUAUAGACUGGCGUUCAAGCUAUAAAAAGUCAGGUUGUAUUGACUUGGGUAGUACAGGGUUACUUUAAACAGAAAGAUACAGACAUUUUAAGCAUGAGGAAAGGACUUAAGUAUCCACUUCUGCUAAGAAACUAAACUGAAGUCCCAAGUUCAUCCAAAUUUGGGCUAUAACCUGGUCCUGAAUUCACACUUUUAGGAUCGUAACAGCAUUCAUUUUGUUUCUGGGUAUCUCUACGUCAAGAUUUGCACCAGACUUUCAGUGACCCUUUACAACAGGAUCAGAAUGAUUUACGUGUAAGAUUUUCUUGAUCAUUGUCACCUAGAUUGUGACUAUGUUCCCCUUCCUUUGUUUCAGAUCCUUCAAAAAGAAGAGAGCACAGUUCAAAAGAGAAAAAACUUACUGAUAAAGCUCAUAGUGUAAGUCCCAGUAGGUAGAAGCUAGCCCCAUUUCCUGGGACACCCAUAGGCAAACUCUUCUACUGUUCUUCAGAAGAAAAUGUGAUCUUAGUUCACCAUAGUUUGACGUUUUGAAAGGAAGUAGUGGUUAGGGUUUCCUGUCAGCUAAGUCUAAACAUUAGGGCCAGAAGACUUAGAUUUUUAUCUUUGCUUUGUCACCUACAGGCUUUAUGAUCUUGGAUAAGUGAUUUAAAAUGGGGGAUAAAAACCAACCUAACAGAACUGGUGUGAGGAAUAAAUAUGAUAAUGUGCAGGAAGCAUUUAGUGCUAAGCAAAUCAUGAAGCCAAUGACAGCAUUCCAAGGAGGUCAACACCACCCUUAGCUGACAUGGCACGUCAGUGUCUUUCAUCCCGGGCGAAUCCCAGGGACACAGAAUUCCCAGAUCUAGAAAAGCUGUCCACUUGAAAGGAAACACUACUUUCUCAUACUGCUAGGUAUUUGACUACUGUGUAACAAGGCUGACGUGCAGGCCCCCUCCUGAACCUGGAAGGGGUACGUGACACCUUCCUGAACCUGGAAGGUAUAAAUUUAAAAUGUGAGCUUCAAAAAUGCUAUCAUGAGAAAAUCAUGCAGCACAAGGUUAUUCUCGACCUCCUCAUCUUCUUAUAACUCACAGUGAGAAUUCUUCCUUAAUUAGCAGUAAACAAUAUGUGCUUUCUUUACUUUUUCCAUUUUUAAAAACUUUUAACUUCAUGAUGUGUACAUGUCUCAUUAUCUCAUUCUUUCUCUCAUGGUUAGUUGGCUAAAUUCUCUCAUUUUUUUUUUCUUUAUAGGGUUUUGUAGAAACUGGACUGAAAUUCUCUUAUAAAAACAGACUGUAGGCAGUCCUACUUCUCUGAUCUAUAUUUAUAAUAGGCAGAACCAUACAGUAGCUCCUGAGAGGGCAAGCUACAGCAGGGUGAUCAGUUCAAUGCACAUAAAUAGUAUUUUAUUAGAACCCUAUUGCAUAGAUUAAAAACAAAACAAAACAAAAUAAAAUGAUAGCCACUCAACUUUCUUGUAACAAUAGGCAAAGUGCACUUAUUUAUAAAGACAGUAAGUAAAAUACAAUGCUUUUGUUCAAUACGGUUACUUUUUCUUUUUUUUUCACGUCUGCUUUAGAGUGUUCUCCUGUUUGCCAAACUUAAAAACGCUGGAUGGAAUCCUGAAGCUACCAGAAGAUUCUUCACCACCAGAAACCAAUAUUUUUUCACAACUCUGUGUUAUAUCCUAAUGCAAUCUGUAUGGAAAGAAAUCACCAUUGUCUCUAAAAGCUGAUAAAUAUAGGAGACGCAUAACUAAAUAUUGUUGUUUACUAUGUAUAUAAUAUAUUUAUAUAUUGUUUUCUUUUAAACGGGUGACCUCCAGGUUUUUUUAAUUCUAUACCCCAUCAGUAAAUAAAUUUUGAGCAUACAUAUAUAAUUAAUUUUUAUUUAGAAAUCUUAUACAUAAAAUACUAGAGAAAUAUAUUAUGUAUAUUUUAAACAUUGAAAAGAGAGAUUGUUAAGUGAUGGAAUAAAAACAACAUGAAUAAGGGCCCUAAGGUUUCCUACAUACUCCAGGGACUCAUCCAUCCAGCGUCGGGGCUGAGUCUCUUACUGUGACAGCACUGCUUUAAAAAACCUGACCUAUCAAAAGGAAGAGGGGCAACUUGUGGUUUUAAGCCACGUGCAUUGGAUUUUUCAUUUUAAACAUUGUCAUUCAUUAGUGGCUUCGAUAUAACAGAAAUUUAGGAAGGUCCCAGGCCAUUCAUUAGAUAUUUAGAAAAUAAACAAUAAUGGUGAAGUUUCUUUUUGUUCAGAGAAUUUCAUAAAUGGGAUUUUAAAACUGUCUUCCCUAUACACUAGAGAGAAGGAAUACAAUUCAAUUUAGUUGCUUUCAAAAUGUAGAGAAAAGUCAACAACUAGACCAACUUAUGACCUUACAGUUUUCCUUAUUUAUAAAGAUCAACUUAGCUGCAGAACUAAAACUUUCCCGAGACAGUUCAUGAAUUAGAUGCUUCCCAGCAUGAAAUAAGGAAAAUAUUUUCUAGACCAUCCUGCCAUGAGUGAAUGCUGCCUAUCAAGUUAUAUAGAAAGACUCUGACAAGACAAAGGUACAGUCCCUUCUCUCAAGAAUCUUAUGGAUGUCUGAAGUAGACCAAACAUACCUAACACCUAAAAUACAAUGAAAUAUGUUACAAAUACUGUGGGAGGAGGAGAUAAUAAUUUUCAAUUUUGUGAAGCCAAAAAAAAAUUGUGGGAAGCCACUUUGAGGACUUUAUAGAGAAAAGAUGAUUUGAGAUGGAUGUUAAAGAUCCACAGAUGGCAAAUAGUAGCAGAUGGUCCCAGUCAGGAAGCACUGCAUGAAAAGGGGCCCAGAGACCAGAAAGUGUGUGUUAGGAAUGGGCCUGGCUGCAAAAGUCAAUUCAGAUUGACAAUGGCUUAAAAAGAGUUAACAGUAGGAGCAUCAGGGUGGCACAUCUGGUUAAGGGUUGGACUCUUUGUUUAGGCUCAGUUCAUGAUCUCACGGUUGAUGAGAUCGAGCCCUGCAUUGGGCUCCACUGUGGAGCCUGCUUGGGAUUCUGUCUCUCCCUCUCCUUCUGCCCCUCCCCUGCUCUCUCUCUCUCUCUCACUGUGUGUGUCUCUCUUUCUCUCUCUCAAAAUAAGCAAACUUUUAAAAGAUUUUUUAAAAAGAGUAAUAGAAAUAAUAAUAGCUACAAUUAUUGAGCACGUGCUGUGUAUCAGGCACAAGACAGACAUUGUACAUCCAUUAUUUAAAUCCUCAGAAAACUAUGAGGUUCCAACUAUUCUCAUCAUAAGUAGGGAUAUCUGAGGCUCAGAGAGGUUAAAUUGUUUGGUUAGGGUCACCCAAGGUAGGUCACACAACUAUUCCAUGGCAAAGGCAAGAUUCAAAGCCUUUCAACACCCUUGCUGUAUCUUCUAAUAAUAUAGUUCUAAUUUUAAAAUUCCAGAUGGUAUUUUGUGUUUCCAGGGACAGCAUCAUCUCCCAUAAUCCAUCACAAAUACCUGCAUUUAAUCAUAAACAAGUAUUCACCAUUCCUUGAACAUACCUUAAAUUUUCCUUGUUCAAAUCUUUCCUACUGUCUGCAAUAUUUUUCACUGGAAGGUACCCUUAAGAAAACCCUUUUUUUCAAGGCUUAUUCCAAAUACAAUUUCCUCCAAAAGUCUUCCCUUAUCUUUUCAAUCAGAUGUUUCCUCUGCAGUUCCAAAGUGCUUAAAAAAAAUACUGGUCUUCAGGCACAUUUUCUUAAUAAUGCCUCCACUUGAUUUUUAUUUAAAUGUAUACUUUGCUUGCUUCCCAUAAAAGGACUGUAAUCCUGAAAUAAGAGAGUGGAUACAUUGCAUUUUAGAUAUUUAUGCAUGUAUCCUUCUGCUUUUCUAAAUCAGGGUAGGAAAACAUCUUCUGUAAAGAACUAGAGAAUAAAUAUUUCAGUUGACCAUAUGGUCUGUCUUAACCACUCGAUUCUGCCAUUGUAGUGCAAACGCAGCCAUUGACCAUAUGUAAAUGAAUGGGUGUGGUUGUGUCCUAGUGAAGCUUUAUUUACCAAACCCGUGGUAGUCUGUAGUUUGCUGACUCCUGCUUUAAAUGGUAAAGUCAUGUGAUUGAUUGCUUUACUCUUAAACAAUAUCCAUUGUCUUGUUGGCCUAGAAGAGGUGUAUAUUUCCCUACUCCUUGAAGUCAGAUGUGUUAAACCACUUGAUUUGGCCAAUGAAAUAUAAGAGGGUAUGAUAUAGGUCACUCGCAGGCAGAAAUUUUGAGAACCAGUUUGUGCUUUCUCACACUUUGAUUUUUUAUGCCAUACCAGCAGACAAAUUUCCAUAUAGAGGCUGCUCCACUGUGAAUAUGAUCUGGCACAGAGUGACAGUCAUCCUACGGGGAUGUAUACAGCAAGAUAGUAGACCUAUGUUAUCAACCUCUGUGGUUCCAUUUGAUGCUAUACCAUAGCCUAGACUUUCCCAAUAAACACAGCUCCUUCAAUUUAAGGACAGCAAUUUAAAUUAUUCAAUGAUGUGCUUUACCUCCAAUGUAGUAUAGUAGGUACUCAAACGUUGAAUGAAUGAAUAAAUGUCUAUUAUAGGAAAACAUGAAUGGGGCGGUAGAAUGACCAGGUAGGACACAACUGUAAUAGUUUAGGUGAAAUGUAUUAAAAACUUGGAUUCGGGCAACAGUAGUGAGAACAGUUACCAAAAAAUGAGGGCAUGAACAAUUGACGAUGAUAGCCACCAAAUUGUUUUAUUGCUUAAGCUGAUUUGAUUACCUAGGCAAGAAUAUUCUAGCUGGCAAAGAAAAUCAUGGGUUUCAGGGCACCUGGGUGGCUCAGUUGGUUAAGCCCGACUUUGGUUCAAGUCAUGAUUUCUUGGUUUGAGAGUUCGAGCCCUGCGUGAGGCCCUGUGCUGACAGCUUAGAGCCUGGAGCCUGCUUCAGAUUCUGUGUGUCCCUCUCUCUCCGCCCCUCCCUUACCUCCCUCCCUCUCUCUCUCUCUCUGCCUCUCUCUUACUCUCUCUUUCAAAAAUAAAUAAACAUUAAAAAAUUUUUUUUAAAGAAAAUCAUGGGUUUCAUAUGUGGACGUUAAGAGGUCCUAGGUGCUGGGUAGCUAUGAGGAAGAAUGGGUACACUCACUGGUAGGUAAGGGUCUCAAAGGUAGACAUCACAUUAUUCCCAAGAGAUAGCCUAUGUUGGGUUGCAAUCUGAUAUUCUGGUCUUAAGAGGCAUACAGGUUUUAAGGGUAGUGUCACCAGAGAGGGUUGACGAAAGUUAGUGAUGCCUACCUACCUACGCCAGAGGGGAAUUGAUUGGAGGGAAGUCAAUAAACUGAAUAACAUUAAACCUAAAAUUGAGUUUAUCACUCAUUGUAUGGUAGCAUCUUUAGUAGCCAUCAUCGUGGCAUGUCCAACAAUGGUGUUGCUAUUAUUUCAAAUAAAUCUGCUCACUUGACCUGUGUAAUACUUCCCUGCAUCUUCUAUAAUAUCUAGAGAUCUGAGUUAUUUCUCCCAUGGCCUAAGCAGACAUAUGGUCUUGGGAAAUACUGUGUUGGGAAUAUACAGGGAUUUUUUAAAUCAGCAAUAAAGUUCUAUUUGUGGGAAUUUUGUGCAUAGGCAGAAAAGAUGGCUGACUUCUAACCAUAUUCUAUUUAACUAAACAGGAUCACAUCAAGUUCCCGUUCUAAAACUUCAGAUACACCCAUCUUUCUGAAACAGUCGGUUCUCCUCCAAUCCACUGGAGGCAACAGGCAUAAAAGGAAUGACCUAAUGCCA
rnacentral:lncRNA from 1 species